rnacentral:rRNA from 1 species
UAAAAUAAGUUAUAUAUAUCAUUUUCUCGAAUUAAAAAGAGCUAUAAUCAUAUAGAUUUAAUUGUUGCAUAAAUUUUUAAAAUAUGGUUAUUGUAAUGAAACGUUAGUCGUUUUUUAAGAUAUCUAGUUUUUUAAGAAAUAAAUUUAAUUUAAUUUUUUAAAUCUAUAUGAUUAAUUGUUUAGUUAUAUAGUUUAAAAAUUAAAUGUUUUAAGGGAUAAGCUUUAAAAUAUAAUAUUAAAAUUGAAGUUGUAUUUGUAUUAAUGAUUAGUAGGAUUGGAAAUGUUUAUCUGUAAUUUGUUAUAAUUAAUUAUUAAUUAAAUAAGAUUUAUAUUGAAUUUAAGUUGUUUAUUAAAAAGGUAUAAAGAAUUAAGAUUUAUAUGAUAUAAUGAUAGAAUUAGUAUAGUUUGAUGUAUUAAGUAAUUUAAGAUUAAGGUUAAAUUAAGGAACUCGGCAAAAUAACUUUUCGCCUGUUUAUUAAAAACAUGUCUUUUUGAUUAUAAUUGAAAGUCUAACCUGCCCAAUGAGGAGUUAAAUGGCCGCGGUACUUUGACCGUGCAAAGGUAGCAUAAUCAUUAGUUUUUUAAUUGAAAGCUGGAAUGAACGGUUGGACGAGAAAGUGACUGUCUCAAUUUAAUUGAUAUUAGAAUUUUAUUUAUAAGUAAAAAAGCUUAUAUGAAUUUAAAAGACGAGAAGACCCUAUAGAAUUUUAUAGUUAUAUAUUAAUAUUAUUUUUAGAAGUUUAAGUUUUAUAGAUAUAUAAUUAUUUUAUUGGGGCGGUAGAAAAAUUAAAGUAACUUUUUUUAUACUAGUUCAUUAAUUAAUGUGUAAAUGAUCCGUUUAUUACGAUUAUAAGAUUAAAUUACCUUAGGGAUAACAGCGUAAUUUUUUUUUAGAGUUCUUAUCGAAAAAAGAGUUUGCGACCUCGAUGUUGGAUUAAAAUUAACUUUUGGUGUAGGGGCUAAAAGGUUAGGUCUGUUCGA